rnacentral:rRNA from 1 species
AGUGAACGCUGGCGGUAGGCCUAACACAUGCAAGUCGAACGGCGGCACAGUAAGAGCUUGCUCUUACGGGUGGCGAGUGGCGGACGGGUGAGGAAUACAUCGGAAUCUACUUUUUCGUGGGGGAUAACGUAGGGAAACUUACGCUAAUACCGCGUACGACCUACGGGUGAAAGCAGGGGAUCUUCGGACCUUGCGCGAUUGAAUGAGCCGAUGUCGGAUUAGCUAGUUGGCGGGGUAAAGGCCCACCAAGGCGACGAUCCGUAGCUGGUCUGAGAGGAUGAUCAGCCACACUGGAACUGAGACACGGUCCAGACUCCUACGGGAGGCAGCAGUGGGGAAUAUUGGACAAUGGGCGCAAGCCUGAUCCAGCCAUACCGCGUGGGUGAAGAAGGCCUUCGGGUUGUAAAGCCCUUUUGUUGGGAAAGAAAAGCAGCAGGUUAAUACCCCGCUGUUCUGACGGUACCCAAAGAAUAAGCACCGGCUAACUUCGUG